CGUAAAAGCCGGGAUUCAAUCAAGCGCCCGGCAGGUAGUGGGGGCCCCGCUGGCAGGGGCCGCGGUGCCGGGGUGCAGGCUGUGCCGGCUCCGGGCUGCCGCGCUCCUCGGGCGGUGGCAUGGCCACAACGUCGAGCGUUUGAACUCCACCGUUUAAUUUCCACGGACCUCCACAGGACCUUUAAGGGAGCACGUAUCCAGAAAAUUCCAGAGGGGAUGCAAAGGGAAGCAAGUGGAUUGCAGCCAGGUUUGCAAAGGGACAGGCAUGAGGCUCAUCUGGCCCUGGUGCUGUGAGAGUGAAGAGCAGCUUCAGGGCCACUUUACACCCCAAGUUCUUGGCAAACUCCCUGUGAGGCGUCCAGGCACUGGGAAGAGGAAAGAGGGGAAAAAGAUGGUCUGGAAAGUGCUUAACAGAAGGAACAAGCCAAGCCUGUUUCACAUUCAGCUGAGCUGGGGGCUCCCUGCAGAGCUCACCUUGAGGUGGGGAGCUGGCAAUGGUAAGGGACAGCACUGCCACUGCCUCCUAAAACACUUUCGCCACUCCCUAAGCCAGUAGGAAGGGGGAAAAAAAAAGCCACUUCUGCUGUUGAAAAACUGAUCAAAAUGUUCUCCUGAUGUCCUGGAUCCCCCACAGCCUCCAGUGAAGAGGUUCCAGCAUCUGAGCAUGCAGGCCUGGGAAAAGGCAGCCAAAGCUCAGCCCCUGCGAAGUGUAGCAGUCUAAUUCUUCUUUUGGCUCUUACCUUGCCUAGAAAAAGCUGAAUAAACAAACAGAAACCAGGCAGGAUCCAGGGAAAGGCCCAUUGUUAAAGUCAGUUGCUGGACGGCUGUUUCUGAUUUGGGGAAGGGAAUGACCAGAGCCUCACAGAGAAGCCAGGGUGGCUCACAGAGCUAUCAGCAGAGACAACAUGGGUUUCCCACUUCAAAUACCUGGGACCGCGGGAGGCCUUGGAAGAUGUGUGCAUUUAGCCUGGGUUGGGCAAGAAGGGCAGCAGGUGCUGGUGCAGGGCUCAGCAAGGUCCUGUCAACAGGCAGCCCCGGUGAAAGCCUCCAUCCAUUAACAGCUCACCAUAAGGAGAGGAGUUCACAAACAAGCUGCAGGUGUAGCUAUUGUUUUUCUGGCUCUGGGCUAUUGACACGAGCAAUAAUCUCAAAUUAAUCUUUAAUCGGAUGAUGAACUGAUAGCGUGGGGCUUGGGAGGUGUGAGCCUUCCCAUGGAGACAAAGAACACAGCAAAUGUGGAGAGAGGGAGCCAGGGAGACCUGGGGAAAGGAUGCAAAGCAGGUGGUCUGGGCUGCAGCGUCACUAUGAUCUUGUCACCAGCUCUGCUCACUUUUCCAACAGCAUCAUCUCUGCCUGCCCAUGCCCCCUGCAAGUCCCUCCCUGCCUGGCCCAGCACUGGUGGGACAAGAGAGUGAUGCCCAUUCCAGGGCUGCUUUUUGCUUCAGUAAAGCACCACCCACUUGCCAAAACCAGUGAGACUAAGCACCUUGCUGGCUCAAAAAUCAGGCUGCAAGUCCUCCUGGAAGAGGUCAGCUUUCUCCUGGGCAAAGCAAGCACAAAUUCCUUGCCCUGAGCAUGCGGGGCAGCUCCACUCACCCUGAAGUGUUAAGAAAUGCUUUCCUGGGGCUGCGCCACUCUCCAACUAUUUAUGUUCCUUGCACAAACGUUGUUGCUGGUGGCAGGACGGACAGCACCCACCUGUACCCACAGGGGUUUGGAAGAGCACAAAGGGGUGGACGAGCUUGAUGUUUGGUUAAACAGUUGUUUCUUCUCUUGCUCUCAGCCAGUCCCAGUCAAGAGGAAAGCUCUGGGGGCUGCCAGCACUGCCUCCCUUAGUGGGUGCAAACUCACGUGGGGUGGGAGUAAGACUGUGACCCCAAGCAGGUGCAGGCAGAUGAGUGACACUGAGCAAACAGCCUGGAGUGGCCACAAAACCCGUUUGCAGAGAUACCCAUGUCAGAGCCCCAGGCACCUCACAGCCUGCUCCGUUAACGGCAGUGGGUUAAAAAUGAAAGCCCUAAAGCCACUGUGUUUAAUUCUUUCACCUGAGGAUAAAUGCAUUGGCACAAGGGACACACGCACAGCAGUGACCCCUGUCCUCCCCACAAUGAGAAGCGCAGGAGUUACCAGCCUGCACCGACGGCUUCACAAUAGCAACGCUGUGCUGUAACUUGCUGGAGAUCUGCCUAGAAAAUCAUCAGAAAGUAUUUUAAAUCCAGCAUAACAUACAUAUUUAUGGAUCACCUUCUGUUUUACUGGGCUCCCUGAAAGCAAUGCGAGGCCUGUUUUACUUUUCUCAAUAAAAAGGCUCACGUUUCACAUGCGAGGAGAUUGGCGUCUCCCGAGCUAAUUAAUCCGGGUUCCCCUCCACCUCCGCAUUUUCCACGCAGGGUUAUGCUGGCGACACUUUGUCUGUGGCCGCUCCGGGCAGGACGGUGCUGCGCAUGGAGGCUCCUUGGCUGGCGAUGUGCCGCAGGCUGAGCGGGGCACGCCGAGGAAGUGGCGGCGUGUCACGGCACAGAGUCAUGGCCCGUUAUAAAGAGCUUCAAGGGCCUGCAUUAUGUCAUUACUCAAUUAGCCUGUUGGUAAUAGCACUUCAUUAGAGAGACAGUUCCUA